UCAAGCUACUAAGGGCAUACGGUGGAUGCCUAGGCGCCAGGAGCCGAAGAAGGACGCGGUAAGCUGCGAAAAGCCACGGGGAACUGCAAGCGAGUAUUGAUCCGUGGAUAUCCGAAUGGGGAAACCCGGCCAUCGUAAUGGAUGGUCAUCCGCAAGGAAGGGAACCCGGGGAACUGAAACAUCUAAGUACCCGGAGGAAAAGAAAUCAAACGAGAUGCCCACAGUAGCGGCGAGCGAAGAGGGCAGAGCCCAAACCUGUAAGCUACGGCUUAUGGGGGUUGAGGACUGAUGUAAUUAAGGCCAGGCUUAGCUGAACUACCUGGGAAGGUAGGCGAUAGAAGGUAAGAGCCCUGUAAGCGAAAGGCAGAGCCUUAAGGUCAGUAUCCAGAGUACCACGGAGCACGAGGAAUUCUGUGGGAAGCAGGGGGGACCACCCUCCAAGGCUAAAGACUAACUGGCGACCGAUAGCGCAUAGUACCGUGAGGGAAAGGUGAAAAGAACCCCGGGAGGGGAGUGAAAUAGUACCUGAAACCGUAUGUCUACAAGCAGUCGGAGCGAAAGCGACGGCGUGCCUAUUGAAGAAUGAACCAACGAGUUAUCUGCACUAGCGAGGUUAAGUGGAAGACACGGAGCCGUAGCGAAAGCGAGUCUGAAAAGGGCGACGAGUUAGUGUAGGUAGACCCGAAACCGCAGUGAUCUACCCAUGUCCAGGUUGAAGCGCAGGUAAAAAUGCGUGGAGGACCGAACCGGUGAGCGUUGAAAAGCUUUCGGAUGAGAUGUGGGUAGGGGUGAAAUUCCAAUCGAACGCGGAGAUAGCUGGUUCUCCCCGAAAUAGCUUUAGGGCUAGCCUCAGGUAGUAAGUAUAGGCGGUAGAGCACUGAUCGGGCUAGGGGCCAUAAAGGUUACCGAACCCUGUCAAACUCCGAAUGGAUAUACUGCAGAGCCUGGGAGUCAGACUACGAGUGAUAAGAUCCGUGGUCAAAAGGGAAACAGCCCAGACCACCGGCUAAGGUCCCAAAUGCCGUACUAAGUGGAAAAGGAUGUGGGGAUUCAUAAACAACCAGGAUGUUGGCUCAGAAGCAGCCACCAUUUAAAGAGUGCGUAAUAGCUCACUGGUCGAGAGUCCCUGCGCCGAAAAUUUCCGGGGCUAAAGUACGGAACCGAAGCCGUGGCUGUGUACUUAGGUGCACGGGGUAGGGGAGCGUUGCCACAGGGGUGAAGCUGGUCUGGAAGGGCUGGUGGACUUGUGGGAAGUGAGAAUGUUGGUAUGAGUAGCGAAAAGAAAGGUGAGAAUCCUUUCCACCGAAAGCAUAAGGAUUCCUGAGCAACGAUCGUCGUCUCAGGGUAAGUCGGGACCUAAUCCGAGGCAAAGAGCGUAGGAGAUGGACAACAGGUUGAUAUUCCUGUACCGGCAGCAAUUGUUUGAGCGAAGGAGUGACACAGAAGGGCAGGCAGGCGCGAGACUGGAUUGUCGCGUGCAAGCGUGUAGGGUAGUGUACAGGCAAAUCCGUACACUGAGAGCCUGAGGCGUUACGCGGAGCGAGCAGAGAUGCGAGCGAAGCUGCUGAUCCCACACUGUCGAGAAAAGCUUCUAGUGAGAGAGCUGCCGCCCGUACCGUAAACCGACACAGGUAUGCGGGGAGAGAAUCCUAAGGUGCGCGGGAGAACCCUCGUUAAGGAACUCGGCAAAAUGUACCCGUAACUUCGGGAUAAGGGUAGCCGUCUUGGUGAAGGAGCUUGCCUCUGGAGCUGAAGGCGGUCGCAGAGAAGAGGCCCAAGCGACUGUUUACCACAAACACAGGUGCCUGCUAAAGCGAAAGCUGACGUAUAGGUGCUGACACCUGCCCAGUGCUGGAAGGUUAAGGAAGGAUGUCCGGGCAACCAAAGCAUUCGACCGAAGCCCCAGUGAACGGCGGCCGUAACUAUAACGGUCCUAAGGUAGCGAAAUUCCUUGUCGGGUAAGUUCCGACCCGCACGAAAGGUGUAACGAUUUGGGCACUGUCUCAACGAGGGACCCGGUGAAAUUGAAAUACCUGUGAAGAUGCAGGUUACCCGCGACUGGACAGAAAGACCCCAUGGAGCUUUACUGUAACCUGACAUUGGGUUUUGUUGUAUUACGUACAGGAUAGGUGGGAGGCUUGGAAGGCUGGACGCUAGUCUGGCUGGAGCCGGCGUUGGGAUACCACCCUUGAUACAACGGAAUUCUAACCGAGAGAGUAACGAAAUCCGGGACAGUGUCAGGCGGGCAGUUUGACUGGGGCGGUCGCCUCCGAAAGAGUAACGGAGG
rnacentral:rRNA from 1 species